UACGUAGGGUGCGAGCGUUAAUCGGAAUUACUGGGCGUAAAGCGUGCGCAGGCGGUUUGUUAAGUCCGCUGUGAAAGCCCCGGGCUCAACCUGGGAAUGGCGGUGGAAACUGGCGAGCUAGAGUGUAGCAGAGGGGGGUGGAAUUCCACGGUGUAGCAGUGAAAUGCGUAGAGAUGUGGAGGAACACCAAUGGCGAAGGCAG
rnacentral:rRNA from 1 species